CUGAAUAACUGUCCUGCUUUUUGGCCCCACAGCACUGAAUGAAGAAGUCAGCCACUUCGAGAAGCGAAAGCUAUUUAUUUUGGUAUCCACGGUGAUGACCUGGGCACGCUCCAAACUCCUGGACCCCGAUGAUUCUGAGAUCCCGUUUACUGAGGAGGAUUAUCGAAGAAGAAAGCAACAUCCUAAUUUUCUGGACCACAUCAAUGCCGAAAAAAUGGUUCUCAAAUUUGGAAAAAAUGU